AAGGUUCGACUCGAGCGAAGCGAGAGAACGUUGCCGCAGGAAAUGGCCCGAAGGCGAGGCGCUUUAGCGCCGAGUAAUCCUUCCCCCACCACUG
rnacentral:sRNA from 1 species